rnacentral:rRNA from 1 species
CUAAGCAUAUCAAUAAGCGGAGGAAAAGAAACCAACAGGGAUUGCCUCAGUAACGGCGAGUGAAGCGGCAAAAGCUCAAAUUUGAAAUCUGGCUCCAUGCGGAGCCCGAGUUGUAAUUUGGAGAGGACACUUCGGGUGCGGCCACGGCAUAAGUUCCUUGGAACAGGACGUCAUAGAGGGUGAGAAUCCCGUCUUUGGCUGCUGGACCGCGCCCAUGCGAAGUUCCUUCGACGAGUCGAGUUGUUUGGGAAUGCAGCUCUAAGUGGGUGGUAAAUUUCAUCUAAAGCUAAAUAUUGGCCGGAGACCGAUAGCGCACAAGUAGAGUGAUCGAAAGGUUAAAAGCACCUUGAAAAGGGAGUUAAAUAGCACGUGAAAUUGUUGAAAGGGAAGCGCUUGCAACCAGACUCGGUCGUGGGGGCUCAGCGGGCAUGCGUGCCCGUGUACUCCCCCAUGCUCCGGGCCAGCAUCAGUUCUGGCGGUUGGUUAAAGGCCUCUGGAAUGUAUCGUCCUCCGGGACGUCUUAUAGCCAGGGGCGCAAUGCGGCCAGCCGGGACUGAGGAACGCGCUUCGGCACGGAUGCUGGCAUAAUGGUUGUAAGCGGCCCGUCUUGAAACACGGACCAAGGAGUCUAACAUCCACGCGAGUGUUCGGGUGUCAAACCCGUGCGCGCAGUGAAAGCGAACGGAGGUGGGAGCCCGCAAGGGUGCACCAUCGACCGAUCCUGAAGUCUUCGGAUGGAUUUGAGUAAGAGCGUGGCUGUUGGGACCCGAAAGAUGGUGAACUAUGCCUGAAUAGGGUGAAGCCAGAGGAAACUCUGGUGGAGGCUCGCAGCGGUUCUGACGUGCAAAUCGAUCGUCAAAUUUGGGUAUAGGGGGCGAAAGACUAAUCGAACCAUCUGGUAGCUGGUUCCUGCGA